rnacentral:rRNA from 1 species
UAGUGGCGAACGGGUGAGUAACACGUGGGCAAUCUGCCCUUCACUCUGGGACAAGCCCUGGAAACGGGGUCUAAUACCGGAUACGACUACCGAUCGCAUGGUCUGGUGGUGGAAAGCUCCGGCGGUGAAGGAUGAGCCCGCGGCCUAUCAGCUUGUUGGUGGGGUGAUGGCCUACCAAGGCGACGACGGGUAGCCGGCCUGAGAGGGCGACCGGCCACACUGGGACUGAGACACGGCCCAGACUCCUACGGGAGGCAGCAGUGGGGAAUAUUGCACAAUGGGCGAAAGCCUGAUGCAGCGACGCCGCGUGAGGGAUGACGGCCUUCGGGUUGUAAACCUCUUUCAGCAGGGAAGAAGCGAGAGUGACGGUACCUGCAGAAGAAGCGCCGGCUAACUACGUGCCAGCAGCCGCGGUAAUACGUAGGGCGCAAGCGUUGUCCGGAAUUAUUGGGCGUAAAGAGCUCGUAGGCGGCUUGUCACGUCGGAUGUGAAAGCCCGGGGCUUAACCCCGGGUCUGCAUUCGAUACGGGCAGGCUAGAGUUCGGUAGGGGAGAUCGGAAUUCCU